rnacentral:rRNA from 1 species
UACGUAGGUGGCGAGCGUUGUCCGGAAUUACUGGGUGUAAAGGGCGUGUAGGCGGGAUUGUAAGUCAGAUGUGAAAUUCCAAGGCUCAACUUUGGAGCUGCAUCUGAAACUAUAAUUCUUGAGUGCUGGAGAGGAUAGUGGAAUUCCUAGUGUAGCGGUGAAAUGCGUAGAUAUUAGGAGGAACACCAGUGGCGAAGGCGGCUAUCUGGACAGUAACUGACGCUGAGGCGCGAAAGCGUGGGGAGCAAACAGG